UACAGAGGUCCCAAGCGUUGUUCGGAUUCACUGGGCGUAAAGGGUGCGUAGGUGGUGAGGUAAGUCGGAUGUGAAAGCUCGGAGCUCAACUCCGAAAUGGCAUUGGAAACUACCUUGCUCGAGGGUUGGAGGGGGGACUGGAAUGCUUGGUGUAGCAGUGAAAUGCGUAGAUAUCAAGCGGAACACCAGCGGCGAAGGCGAGUCCCUGGACAACUCCUGACACUGAGGCACGAAAGCUAGGGGAGCAAACGGG
rnacentral:rRNA from 1 species